CCCUUAGAUGCUCUGGGCCGCACGCGCGCUACACUGGUCGAUGCAACGAGUUUCUUUCCUUGGCCGACAGGCCUGGGCAAUCUUUGAACAUCGAUCGUGAUCGGGAUAGAUUCUUGUAAUUUUUGAUCUUAAACGAGGAAUUCCUAGUAAACGCAAGUCAUCAGCUUGCAUUGAUUACGUCCCUGCCCUUUGUACACACCGCCCGUCGCUCCUACCGAUUGGGUGUGCUGGUGAAAUGUUCGGAUCGGCCGUUUGUCGCGGUUUCCGCGUCAUGUGGCUGAGAAGUUCAUUAAACCCUCCCACCUAGAGGAAGGAGAAGUCGUAACA
rnacentral:rRNA from 1 species